UACAGAGGUCUCAAGCGUUGUUCGGAUUCAUUGGGCGUAAAGGGUGCGUAGGUGGCGCGGUAAGUCGGGUGUGAAAUUUCGGAGCUUAACUCCGAAACUGCAUUCGAUACUGCCGUGCUUGAGGACUGGAGAGGAGACUGGAAUUUACGGUGUAGCAGUGAAAUGCGUAGAUAUCGAGAGGAACACCUGCGGCGAAGGCGGGUUGCUGGGCUGACACUGACGCUGAUUGUGCGAAAGCUAGGGGAGCGAACGGG
rnacentral:rRNA from 1 species